rnacentral:lncRNA from 1 species
UAAAUUAAAUAAUCUAAUUGUAAUAUAAUAAUUGUUAACAUUAUCUCUAAUAUCACUACAACAAAAACGGUCUAUAGUGACACUUUUAAAUGUAGGUACAUGUCAAAAAAGUGCUGCUAGCUAAAAUUACCGACACUUUUAAAAAGUGUUGCUAUAUGUGGGGUCGCUAGGUAUAUAGUGACAGUUAAAGAGUGUCGCUAUAACCUAAAAGAGUGCUGCUAAUUUACCAAUAACUUAUUUAAGCAUUUAGCAACCGCCGAAACUCUAUCUCGUUGGCUACGGUGGCGGAGGAGGAUGACAGGAAUGGCUCUUCGUCUAGAAUUUCAAUAGAUUGAGUGAAGAGAGAAGAAAAUAUGGUAAUUGAUUUUUCUUUUUUUUUCCUUUUCUGUUUGUAAUCGGGCCAAAUGGAUUGGGUGUGGUGGGUUGAGUAGAGUAAUUUUUUAUUUUUAGUUGAAUUGGGCUUUAUAUUUAGACAUUAGUAGAUGUUUUUUUAAGUUUUAGCAUAAAUGGGACACUUACUCAAAAGUGUCCCAAACAUGUGUCCCUAUAAUCUAAUUCUGUUGUAGUGUAUGAACUCUAAAGCUGCGUUUGAUUUGGGUAUAAGUAAGAACUUAAGUACUCGGAUCCGAACCCGACCCGAAGUUAAAUGGGUAAGGUAUAUGUAUUUUUUUCUAAUCAUUUCUUUUUAGGGUACGGGUACAGUAUAUCAAUUGCCCAGACUUGACGCGGUCCAUGGAGACCUUUAAUUGUAACAUGAAAAAUAAGAAUUAUAAUUUAAAAUAAAAUUAUUUUAUCUAAUUCCAAACACUACAACAAAAUUAGGUUAUGGGGACACAUAUUUGGGAUACUUUUGUCUAAGUGUCCCAUUUAUGUCAAAAUUUAAAAAAACAUCUAUUAAUGCCUAAAUAUAAAGCCGAAUCCAACAAAAAAUAAAAUGUUACUAUACUCAACCCACCCAACCUAGCCCACUUGGCCCGAUUCCAAAUGAAAAAGAAAAAAAAAAUCGAUUACCAUCUCCUCUUCUCUCCUCACUCAAUCCACUGAAAUUCUAGACGAAGGGCCCUUCCCUCUCGUCCUCCUCCGCCACCGCAGCCAACGAGGUAGAGUUUCGGCGGUUGCUAGAUGCUUAAAUAAGUGUUGCUAAAUUAGUAGCACUUGUUUAGGUUAUAGCGACACUCUUUAACUGUCAGUAUAUACCUAGCGACCCCACAUAUUGCAACACUUUUUAAAAGUGUCGGUAAUUUAACCAGCAGCACUUUUUUUGACCUAUACCGACAUUUAAAAGUGUCGCUAUAGACCGUUUUUGUUGUAGUGAAAUAUUAACACUAAUUUUGUGUUUGGAUGAAAAUUGGAUUGCUCAUGAGAAUAUGUUUGAAUGGUUAGAUUGUAAAAAGGUGAAUAAGAGUUAUAAUUUUUAAAAUAAAAUUAUUUUAUCUAAUUAAUUAAUAUCAAAAUAUUAAAUUAAAAUAAUUCAAUAAAUUAAUAAAUUGAUUAGCUAUGAAUAUUAUAAUAAAUUAAUAAAUUAAUAAAUAUAAAUAUUAGUUAAUUAAUUAGUUAUUUAAUACAUUUAUUAAUUAAAUAAUUAAUUAUAAAAAUAACUUAAGUUUUUAAUUAGUUAGUAAAUUAUCUUAGUUAGAUAUUAGUAAAUUAUCUUAGUUAGAUAAUUAGUUAAAAAUUAAUUAGAUUGAUUAAUAAUUUAAUAUCAUAAUUAAAAUUCGAUUAGAUUUUAAUUAAUCUUGUUCUUACUUGGGAACAAGCUUGUUGUAGAGAGAAGGUGGAAUAGCUGUUUUAAGUUUAUAUUGGGUAUAUCAGCUCACUACAACAAAAAUGGUUUAUAGCGACACUUUUAAAUGUCGGUAUAGGUCAAAAAAGUGCUGCUGGCUAAAUUUACCGACACUUUUGAAAAGUGUUGCUAUAUGUGGGGUCGCUAGAUAUAUAGUGACAGUUAAAGAGUGUUGCUAUAAUCUAAAAGACUGCUGCUAAUUUACUAACAUUUAUUUAAGCAUCUAGCAACCGCCGGAACUCUACCUCGUUGGCUGCGGUGGCGGAGGAGGACGAGAGGAAAUUAUCUUCGUCUAGUAUUUCAGUCGAUUGAGUGAGGGGAGAAGGAAAAAUGAUAAUCGAUUUUUCUUUUCUUUUUCUUUUCUUUUUCUUUUCUGUUUGUAAUCGGGCCGAAUGGGCUAAGUGGAGUGGGUUGAGUAGAGUACCCUUUUGUUUUUAGUUGGAUUGGACUUUAUAUUUAGGCAUUAGUAGGAUUUUUUUAAGUUUUGGCAUAAAUGUGACACUUAUACAAAAGUGUCCCAAAUAUGUGUCGCUAUAACCUAAUUCUGUUGCAGUGGCUUAUUCCAUGGAUAGGUGGACUACUGUUCUCGUGGGGAGGGGGAGGGGCAUAGCUUUUGC